AGCAGCCGCGGUAAUUCCAGCUCCAAUAGCGUAUAUUAAAGUUGCUGCAGUUAAAAAGCUCGUAGUUGAAUUUCGGGACCAUCAUGUCGGUCGUGCCUCGGUACGUACUGGCAUUGUUGGUUUCUCCCUUCUGACGAACCAUGAUGUCAUUUAUUUGGUGUUGUGGGGAAUCAGGACUGUUACUUUGAAAAAAUUGAGUGUUUAAAGCAGGCUCACGCUUGAAUACAUUAGCAUGGAAUAAUGAAAUAGGACGUUUGAUUCUAUUUUGUGGUUUCUAGGAUCGACGUAAUGAUUAAUAGGGAUAGUUGGGGGCAUUAGUAUUCAAUUGUCAGAGGUGAAAUUCUUGGAUUUAUUGAAGACUAACUACUGCGAAAGCAUUUGCCAAGGAUGUUUCAUUAAUCGAGAACGAAGUUAGGGGAUCGAAGACGAUCAGAUACCGUCGUAGUACUUAACCAUAAACCUANGCCGACUAGGGGAUCGGUAUGUAUGUUUAAUUUUUAANGUACUUCAGUUCGGACCG
rnacentral:rRNA from 1 species